rnacentral:rRNA from 1 species
GGGCCCGCACAAGCGGUGGAGCAUGUGGUUUAAUUCGAUGAUACGCGAGGAACCUUACCAGGGUUUAAAUGCAGAACGACAGGGGUGGAAACACCCCCUUCUUCGGACGGACUGCAAGGUGCUGCAUGGUUGUCGUCAGCUCGUGCUGUGAAGUGUCGGGUUAAGUCCCAUAACGAGCGCAACCCCCAUUUCUAGUUGCCAGCGGUUCGGCCGGGGACUCUAGAGAAACUGCCAGCGUAAGCUGUGAGGAAGGUGGGGAUGACGUCAAAUCAUCACGGCCCUUACAUCCUGGGCCACACACGUGCUACAAUGGUAGGGACAACAGGUUGCCAACCCGCGAGGGUGAGCCAAUCCCAAAACCCUAUCUCAGUUCGGAUCGGAGUCUGCAACUCGACUCCGUGAAGUUGGAAUCGCUAGUAAUCGCGGAU